CAACAAUGAAAAAAGUCAUAUGUUAUAGUCAGCUAUACAAGUCUUGAUAUCAAUAUAAGAAAAUUUUAAAUAAAGAUUGAUUCAAAUAUUGUCAUUUUCUGACUUGUAGGUAUCAUAACAGUCAUAUCCAAAAUUCAAAAACUGAGAGCUGAGAAUAGAAGAGAACAAAAACGCAAAUGGAAACAAAAGAGUAAAAAUGACCAAACAAAAGCAUUAUCAAAGUCUUCUUCUGCAAUCCGAAAAAGGAGACAGAGGGAAAAGGAUAGGAAUAGUAAAAUAGAAGAUAUAGAGAAAAGAGCAGCAACAACAAAAAGAAAGCACAAAUUUUAAAGUAGAACUAAAAAAAAAGAUCAAAUAUCAGCAAAAGAAAUAAUUGAACAGACCUUAAGGGGUAGAAAGACAAACAGACAGCGUAUAUGGAGGGAAAAACAAAAACAAAAACAGCCGAAAUCGCCAGUACAAUUGAAUUUGACCACGGCUGAAGACAAAAACGAUCCAUUUAAAAACAAAAUGAGCCGAAGCCGCGCGGUAAGAAAAUUGAAAAGAGCCUUACCUGUAAAAGUAAAAGAGUAGCUACAGUUAAAGCAUACCUUUCAACAAAUAAAUCGCCAACAGCAAUCGCACUGCA
rnacentral:lncRNA from 1 species